CUCUAAGCCAUAGCCGAACUCCAUCAACCACCCACACACUCAAAAUUUCUCAUCCAAACACCAAGAUUUUGGAGACAAAUAACACUAGACUUCAAGGAGAUCAAGUGUUAUGUUUCAGGUGUAUAGUAUCGGAUGUAACAGACUUCUAUCCUUGUUCCAGAAGUCCGCGAGUACAGAAAGAAGGAAUAAAUCAGUAGUGCUGCAGUAGUCGAGUCCUAGAGUGUAAUUAUGUUUUGUCAAACGGUUUUAUAUAUGUUGUUUAUACUCUGACAUGUAUAAAGGUUUUAAACUGCGCUUUUAAACCGUUUAUAUAUAUAUAUGUGAGAAACAGGGCAUUGCUUGAUA